AGUUGGUCUCUAAAGGCAUUCACCGUUUCUUCCGCUUUUGUCCUACAAAAUUCUGAAUCGGGAAAUAAAAAAGUCGCCACCACGACAGAUAGCACACAGCAGAAGUUGUUUUCAAAGGACCUAACUACAUCAUGACCUCGCAAGAAAGGGAUCAUACAGCUGUGGACGGAGCAGACGGGGAGCUGUCAGCACCGGAGAACGCAGCUGGCGAGCACGAAAGAGCAGAAAGGAGAAUUGUUGAAAGGCUUUUAGAUAUCAGUGAGGAGAACUUCUUGAAUGAGAAGGAGCUAAAUGAGUUCCAUUGUUACUCUGGUUGGGAGGAUGCUGUUUGUGGUUGGGCCAGAGUUGCUCCCCUGAGCUGCAUACUUUUGACUUCAAACACAGACAAGAAACCAAAGCAUAAGGAGGCUGGCAAUGGAACUCCUUCAUCUGAUGACCCAGUGCCUUCUAAUGCAGACAGCUCAGACAGCAUUACAGAGCAGCACUGUGAGUCUCAGUGAGGCCACAAUGUUUAA